rnacentral:lncRNA from 1 species
AUGAUGAUUGAUGGAGUAGAUUGAGUAUAUGAUGUUAAUUGAUGAAUUUGAGGUGAGUUAGUUUAAUAAAAUUAGGGAUAUGUGUAUCUAUGCCCUAAAUUGUAAAUUGAUGGAUUAUAUGUGAGUUUAAAUGGUUAAAAUUGAUAGAUCUAUGAUUAGAUUAAGGUAUCAUGUGUGUUGAUAAAAUUUCAAAGAGUUUAGUUUAUUGAAAAUUAGGACUUUCUUGCCUAUGUGUUUAUUAAGUGUUUUGGUUUAGGAUAUAUGUAAUUGAGCAUGAUAUUAGUGUCUAAUUAUGUUUGACUAGGUCUUUUGUUGGCUAAAUAAAAUUUGGACUUAGUUUAGUUUGUAUGAUUAAAGAG